GAUGAACGCUGGCGGCGUGCCUAAUACAUGCAAGUCGAGCGAACAGACGAGGAGCUUGCUCCUUCGACGUUAGCGGCGGACGGGUGAGUAACACGUAGGUAACCUACCUAUAAGACUGGGAUAACUUCGGGAAACCGGAGCUAAUACCGGAUAAUAUUUCGAACCGCAUGGUUCGAUAGUGAAAGAUGGCUUUUCUAUCACUUAUAGAUGGACCUGCGCCGUAUUAGCUAGUUGGUAAGGUAACGGCUUACCAAGGCAACGAUACGUAGCCGACCUGAGAGGGUGAUCGGCCACACUGGAACUGAGACACGGUCCAGACUCCUACGGGAGGCAGCAGUAGGGAAUCUUCCGCAAUGGGCGAAAGCCUGACGGAGCAACGCCGCGUGAGUGAUGAAGGUCUGCGGAUCGGAAAACUCUGUUAUUAGGGAAGAACAAACGUGUAAGUAACUGUGCACGUCUUGACGGUACCUAAUCAGAAAGCCACGGCUAACUACGUG
rnacentral:rRNA from 1 species